rnacentral:tRNA from 2 species
UCCCCUGUAGCUCAACGGUUAGAGCGGUUGGCACCGGAAGGUGGCCGUACAGAUGCCGGUUCAACUCCGGCCAGGGGAA